UACGAAGGGGGCUAGCGUUGUUCGGAAUCACUGGGCGUAAAGCGCACGCAGGCGGAUUGAUAAGUCGGGGGUGAAAUCCCGGGGCUCAACCUCGGAAUUGCCUUCGAUACUGUCUGUCUUGAGUCCGGGAGAGGUGAGUGGAAUUCCUAGUGUAGAGGUGAAAUUCGUAGAUAUUAGGAAGAACACCAGUGGCGAAGGCGGCUCACUGGCCCGGUACUGACGCUCAUGUGCGAAAGCGUGGGGAUCAAACAGG
rnacentral:rRNA from 1 species